UACGUAGGUGGCAAGCGUUGUCCGGAUUUACUGGGCGUAAAGAGCGCGCAGGCGGUCAGAUAAGUCGAAUGUGAAAGCCCCCGGCUCAACUGGGGAGGGUCAUUCGAUACUGUUCGACUCGAAGGCAGGAGAGGGAAGUGGAAUUCCCGGUGUAGUGGUGAAAUGCGUAGAUAUCGGGAGGAACACCAGUGGCGAAGGCGACUUCCUGGCCUGUUCUUGACGCUGAGGCGCGAAAGCUAGGGUAGCAAACGGG
rnacentral:rRNA from 1 species